rnacentral:rRNA from 1 species
AUGUCGCAAUGUGUCCAUCAAUGUAUCCGGCGCCUCCGGAUCUGGAGCAGAUUGUGUUGUCCCUUGGAACCUGGAUAG